CCCGGUCGCUUGGGCCCUGGGUGGCAGGUUUGCGCAGCCCUGCGGCGAUUUCAAGGCAAGUGACCGGAAUGGGUCGGAAGCGCGUCCCGGAUUGUCCAUGCUUCAAUCAUUUCUAUCCAAUGAAAUCUCUACAGAAGGCCCAAGGGGACUGAUGAGUCUCCCUCUGAUGCCGAGCCGAAACUGGACUGUACUGCUGCCAUCUCGGCUCACUGCAACCUCCCUGCCUGAUUCUCCUGCCUCAGCCUGCCCAGUGCCUGUGAUUGCAGGCGCGCGCCGCCACGCCUGACUGGUUUUCGUAUAUUUUUUUUGGUGGAAACGGGGUUUCGCUGUGUUGGCCGGGCUGGUCUCCAGCUCCUAACCACGAGUGAUCUGCCAGCCUCGGCCUCCCAAGGUGCCGGGAUUGCAGAUGGAGUCUCGUUCACUCAGUGCUCAAUGUUGCCCAGGCUGGAGUGCAGUGGCUUGAUCUCGGCUAGCUACAACCUCCACCUCCCAGCCGCCUGCCUUGGCCUCCCAAAGUGCCGAGAUUGUAGCCUCUGCCCGGCCGCCACCCGGUCUGGGAAGUGAGCGUCUCUGCCUGGCCGCCCAUCGUCUGGGAUGUGAGGAGCCCCUCUGCCCGGCUGCCCAGCCUGGGAAGUGAGGAGUGCCUCUUCCUGGCCAUCAUGUCUAGGAAGUGAGGAUCAUCUCUGCCUGGCCGCCAAUCGUCUGAGAUGUGGGGAGUGCCUCUGCCCCGCCGCCCCAUCUGGGAUGUGAGGAGCGCCUCUGCCCGGCCGAGACCCCAUCUGGGAGGUGAGGAGCGUCUCUGCCCGGCCGCCCCGUCUGAAGUGAGGAGCCCCUCUGCCCGACAGCCGCCCCAUCUGAGAAGUGAGGAGCCCCUCCGCCCGGCAGCCGCCCCGUCUGAGAAGUGAGGAGCCCCUCUGCCCAGCAGCUGCCCCGUCUGGGAAGUGAGGAACGUCUCCAUCCGGCAGCCGCCCUGUCUGGGAGGGAGGCGGGGGGCAGCCCCCGCCCGGCCAGCCGACCCGACCGGGAGGGAGGUGGGGGGGCAGCCCCCGCCCCGCCAGCCGCCCCGUCCGGGAGGGAGGUAGGGGGGCAGCCCCCGCCCGGCCAGCCGCUCCGUCCAGGAGGGAGGUGGGGGGCGCCUCUGCCCUGCCGCCCCUUCUGGGAAGUGAGGAGCCCCUCUGCCCGGCUGCCACCCCGUCUGGUAGGUGUACCCAACAGCUCAUUGAGAACGGGCCAUGAUGACGAUGACGGUCUUGUCGAAUAGUAAAGGGGGAAAUGUGGGGAAAAGAUAGAGAAAUCAGAUUGUUGCUAUGUCUGUGUAGUAAGAAGUAGACAUGGGAGACGCCAUUUUGUUCUGUACUAAGAAAAAUUCUUCUGCCUUGGGAUCCUGUUGAUCUUUGACCUUACCCCCAACCCUGUGCUCUCUGAAACAUGU
rnacentral:lncRNA from 10 species